rnacentral:rRNA from 1 species
AGGAACCUGCCUUGGAGUGGGGAAUAACAGCUGGAAACAGCUGCUAAUACCGCAUAAUAUAUCUGGGCCGCAUGGCUCUGGAUAUCAAAGAUUUAUCACUCUGAGAUGGACUCGCGUCUGAUUAGCUGGUUGGCGGGGUAACGGCCCACCAAGGCGACGAUCAGUAGCCGGACUGAGAGGUUGGCCGGCCACAUUGGGACUGAGACACGGCCCAGACUCCUACGGGAGGCAGCAG